CUAAUAAAGGGCAGGUGAGACUUUUCUGGCCAUGUCAGCUAGGUUAUCAUUUGUUUCCAUUUUUCUGAACAAAUUUAGAGAUCAAAAAUGUCACUGUGGGGGAAAGAAUCUGAUGGGCAGAAUUUGUGCAUAUUUUAUGCCCUCCGUACCCAUCCUUCCUUUCCCAAUACCCCACAUUUGGGGGCCAGCAGCCAGCCACCUGCCUCUAGUUCUUCCCACAACCAGGGCAAGCUUCUUAACCAGAGGGGGAGGGCUCCUUCUUCAUUGCUCUCAUUCAAGCCAGCUCAUCUUUUCAGAGUCAGCUCAGAUGGCACCUUCUCUCUGGGACUUUUCCUGAAUCUCACAGACAAAAGUUGGCAGUCUCCUUCUGGGGGUACUCACAGUGUUUUUCUCAGCCUGUUUUUUCUGUCCAUGUGUGUGUUUUGCUAAGUUGGGAGUUCCUCAAGGGUAAGCACAGUCCCUCACUCAGCUGGUACAGAAUCAUGCUGUUGUGGACGGAGGCAGGGAGAGAGAGAGUGAAUGAAUGAAACACAGGGCGGGAGGGGUGGACAGGGCACAGGGGUGUGUCAUCUUGGUCAUCUCUGCCUCUCUCUCUACAUCACUAGUUGGGGAAAGGGAGAGCUGAGACUGUGAUAAGGCGAACAGGGUUCAGCUGGCAGGGAGUUCAGGGGCCCUGAUCGUCAAGGGGCGGAGCCCAUAGACUUAAGAUAAUCCUCACCUGGAAAAUCUGUUCCCCCCAUCCCAGCGGAGCCUUCUCUUCUUCCAGAAAGAGUGUGGAAUGCUCCAGAAAUAUGCAAGACCCUCCAGAGAUGAGGAAGACAAUCACAGAGUGUCUGUUCUAAACAGUCCUUUAAUGGAGGCUGGGGGAUCCAAGUAGAUUUGAAUCUUAACCCUAGGCGUGAGACAGAAAUUCUCCCCUCAGAGCCUGUUUCCCCAUCUGUUUGGUAAGAGGCUUGAAGUGACUGAUUGUCUAAAGAGGUUCUGAGCUGAGAGUAUUCGGGUUCUAAGAAGGGCUGUGAGACAGUGCGGCCCUGCAGUAUCCUAUCAAUCCGGCUCUUUAAUUCCCCUCCUUUCCCUCUGCACUGGGAGACCUGCCUUGUAAACAAACGGAAGUCAGGCCAGGAGGCUCCGCAAAAUACACCACCUCUGCUGCUGCUGCUGCUAAGUCGCUUCAGUCGUGUCCGACUCUGUGCGACCCCAUAGACGGCAGCCCACCAGGCUCCUCCAUCCAUGGGAUUCUCCAGGCAAGAAUACUAGAGUCUCUGGGAGCCCAGGACCUUCACAAACAGCGCUCCGAUCACCAUUCUCUGCAACCCAGAGACCUGCCCUCCCUUUUCUGGUGUUUACAGAACAAUAAGAAAGCGAGGAGUGACUCCUUGGGACUGAGCCCCACCUGCCCUCAGGACCCAUUUCUGUUCUGCACGGGGCCUGCUCAGCUGGACACUUUAUACACCUUUCACAGUUGAAGUGCUUUUACAGACUGUCGUCGAUGGAGUAGCCACCAUGGAGGUUAAGGAGCCCGUAUGAGGGUGAUGCUCUCUGCACACUCCGAUUGAAGAUUUGAAGACCUGAUGGACCGUGCGUGUUAGGAGGGCACCGGCUAGAUGGCGGAUUCCCGUUCAGGAGGCUGAGCCAGCCCGGAGCAGCCUGCCAGGGAAGCCAGUGUGUGCUGUGAGCCGGCAUGAACCACCCCAUCCAUCUUCCUCUUCCACCCCCCACUACUUUAUGUCCCGUAUCUUCACUGCAAAGCAUGGCUCGCCACAAUACAGCACAGAGAAAAUGAUUCAAUCAAAAUUCCCUUGCAACAACAACAAAUAAUAUUGCCCUGCUUGCUUUAUUCAUGAUCUUUUAUUGAGGCGAAAGGCAAGUAUCAUUGAGCCAAACCUGAACAGACAAAUAUAGACAACAUGGGUAAUUUCCUAUUUCGUGCUAAUGGUAUACACUGUAGAUA
ensembl:lncRNA